UGAUCUGCCCAGACUGGGCAUUUUUCGCCUUCGGGGACCGGUCUCCCCGACCAGGGACCGGUUCCCGAACGUGGGUGUUCCAGGACUUAGCCAAAUUUUUGAGUUUUUCAGCUGUUGCGCAGCGAGGGACCGGUCUGCCCGUCAGGGACCGGUCUCCCGAGGACCGGUCUCACCACCAGGGACCGGAUGCCUCAGGAUUUCCUGGCAGGCUACGCGCACGGGGACCGGUC
rnacentral:lncRNA from 1 species